AAUGGCGGAUUAGUGGAUGUGA
rnacentral:miRNA from 1 species